rnacentral:rRNA from 1 species
CAAUAGCGUAUAUUUAAGUUGUUGCAGUUAAAAAGCUCGUAGUUGGAUUUCGGGUGGGACGCAGCGGUCUCGCAUUGCGUUUGUACUGCUGCAGCCCUCCUUCUUGCCGGGGGCGGCCUCUCGGACUUCACUGUCUGGGGGUCAGAAUCGGCGAUGUUACUUUGAGUAAAUUAGAGUGUUCAAAGCAAGCUUACGCUCUGAAUAUAAUAGCAUGGGAUAACACGACAGGACUCUGGCCUAUCGUGUUGGUCUAUAGGACCAGAGUAAUGAUUAAGAGGGACAGUCGGGGGCAUUCGUAUUCCGUUGUCAGAGGUGAAAUUCUUGGAUUUACGGAAUACGAACAUCUGCGAAAGCAUUUGCCAAGGAUGUUUUCAUUGA